CCCCACUGCUAUCGGGAUAGGACUAAGACAUGCUAGUCGAGUGGCUCAGCCAAAACGAGUCACGGCGUACAGCUCAGUAACACGUGGCUAACCUGCCCUUGGGACGAGAACAACCCCGGGAAACUGGGGCUAACUCUCGAUAGGCGAAGAACUCUGGAAUGAGUCUUCACCCAAACAGUUUAAGGUUAUGCUCUUUAAACUGCCCAAGGAUGGGGCCGCGACCGAUCAGGUUGUUGGUGAGGUAAUGGCUCACCAAGCCUUUUACCGGUGCGGGCCGUGGGAGCGGGAGCCCGGAGAUGGGCACUGAGACAAGGGCCCAGGCCCUACGGGGCGCAGCAGUCGCGAAAACUUUGCAAUAAGCGAAAGCUUGACAGGGCUAUCCCGAGUGCCAUCCGCUGAGGAAGGCCUUUACCCAGUCUAGAACGCUGGGGGAAUAAGGAGAGGGCAAGUCUGGUGUCAGCCGCCGCGGUAAUACCAGCUCUCCGAGUGGUGUGGAUGUUUAUUGGGCCUAAAGCAUCCGUAGCUGGCUAGGUUAGUCCCCUGUUAAAUCCACCGAAUUAAUCGUUGGAUUGCGGGGGAUACUGCUUGGCUAGGGGACGAGAGAGGCAGACGGUAUUUCCGGGGUAGGGGUGAAAUCCUAUAAUCCCGGGAAGACCACCAGUGGCGAAGGCUGUCUGCUAGAACGCGCCCGUCGGUGAGGGAUGAAAGCUGGGGGAGCGAACCGGAUUAGAUACCCGGGUAGUCCCAGCUGUAAACGAUGCAGACUAGGUGUUUGAACGGCCACGUGCCGUUCUAGUGCCGCAGGGAAGCUGUUAAGUCUGCCGCCUGGGGAGUACGAUCGCAAGAUUGAAACUUAAAGGAAUUGGCGGGGGAGCACCACAAGGGGUGAAGCUUGCGGUUU
rnacentral:rRNA from 1 species